rnacentral:rRNA from 1 species
UACGGGGGGUGCGAGCGUUGUCCGGAAUCACUGGGCGUAAAGGGCGCGUAGGUGGUCUGAUAAGGGUGUGGUGAAAGCCCGGGGCUCAACCCCGGGUCGGCCGUGCCGACUGUUGGACUAGAGUGCUGUAGGGGCAGGCGGAAUUCCGGGUGUAGCGGUGGAAUGCGUAGAGAUCCGGAGGAAGACCGGUGGCGAAGGCAGUUCACUGGGCAUCAUCUGACGCUGAGGCGCGAAAGCGUGGGUAGCAAACAGG